AGCGAACGCUGGCGGCAGGCCUAACACAUGCAAGUCGAACGAACUCUUCGGAGUUAGUGGCGGACGGGUGAGUAACACGUGGGAACGUGCCUUUAGGUUCGGAAUAACUUAGGGAAACUUGUGCUAAUACCGCAUGUGCCCUUCGGGGGAAAGACUUAUCGCCUUUAGAGCGGCCCGCGUCUGAUUAGCUAGUUGAUAAGGUAACGGCUGACCAAGGCGACGAUCAGUACCUGGUCUGAGAGGACGACCAGCCCCACCGGGAAGUGGACACGGCCCAGCUUCCUGUGAGAGGGGGAAGGGGGUAAUCUGGCGCAAUGGGCGUAAGCCUAACGAAGCCUUGCUGGGUAAAUGAUGAAGGUCUUAGGAUUGUAAAAUUCUUUCCCCGGGGACGAUAAUGCCGGGACGCGGGGAGGAAGCCCCGGCUAACUUAGUGCAAGCCCCGCCGUAAUAC
rnacentral:rRNA from 1 species